rnacentral:rRNA from 1 species
AGUGAACGUUGGCGGCGUGGAUUAGGCAUGCAAGUCGAGCGAGAACCGUAGCAAUACGGGGACAGCGGCGAAAGGGACAGUAAUGUGUAGGUACCUACCCCCGGGUUCGGGAUAGCUGCGGGAAACUGCAGGUAAUACCGAAUAAUGUCUCCGGACCAAAGGUGUGAUUCCACCUGGGGAGGGGCCUGCAUCCUAUUAGCUUGUUGGUGGGGUAACGGCCUACCAAGGCGACGAUGGGUAGCGGGUGUGCGAGCAUGACCCGCGUCAUUGGGACUGAGACACUGCCCAGACACCUACGGGUGGCUGCAGUCGAGAAUCUUCGGCAAUGGGCGCAAGCCUGACCGAGCGACGCCGCGUGCGGGAUGAAGGCCUUCGGGUUGUAAACCGCUGUCGUAGAGGAGGAAAUGCAGGGGGGUUCUCCCCUUUGCUUGACCUAUUCUAGGAGGAAGUACGGGCUAAGUUCGUGCCAGCAGCCGCGGUAA